rnacentral:misc_RNA from 1 species
GCUUGCUGUUGGAGCCAUUGCCGGAGUUUACUGCCUGUUGGUGGCGGCUCAUUGCCGACUGUUGUUGGUCGAUGGAAGCUUGCUGUUGUUCACUGAUCGGAGCAGUUGAAUGGGAGAGAGGAGAGGGGAGAAAAGAGGAACAAGGGAGGCGGCUGCGACUGCGCCUGGCUCAUCGCCGAUUGCUACUGCCCACCGGUUGCUGGACUUCCUGGCGGCUGCCACCAACUGCCUUCUCCGGAAAAAAAAGGGGGAAGAGAGAGGGAAAGGAGGAUCAAUAGGGAAGAGGAACGAAGGAGAAUGGAAGAAACGCGAGGGAUAUAAAGGGGCGGAGAGGAAGGCGAGGGGAGAGAGUCCACCGGCGAUUGGUGGUUUUCACCGGAAAGAAUGGGGAGAAAGAGAGAGAGAGGG